rnacentral:lncRNA from 10 species
CUGUAAUCCCAGCUUCUGGGGAGGCUGAGGCAGGAGAAUCGCUCGAACCCAGGAGGUAGAGGUUACAGCGAGCUGAGAUCGCACCAUUGCACUUCAGCCUGGGUGACAAGAGCAAAACUCCAUCUCAAAAACAAAAAAAGAAUGACGCCUUAGUUUGGGGUUAGAGCAAAUGGUGCUGCCUAUUUCUGGGAUGGGGAAGACAAGAAGGAAUAGAGUUGGGGACAGAGGUAUCAAGAGUUAUUUGAGGGCACAGAAGUCCAAGAUGGCUAUAAGACAGUCAGGUGGGAAGGUCAGUGGAGGCUCAGGGGGGACAUGCAGGCUGGGAUAGAAAUGUGAGCAUCCCCAGAUAGGUGGCCUGUAGGGCCAUGAGCCUGGUAGGGUGACUGAGCGAGGAGAAUAGCCGGAGAAGGGGAGGUCCAAGGACCCAGACCCACCUGGUUAUUUCACAUUUGGGGCCAGACUGGCUUUGUUUACCAUUGAUCUGAGCAUGAAAAUCAAGUGAAAAUCAAAAGGAAGCCAGGAGCCACGCCUCCUCCGUGACUGCGGAUCCUGGGCCAAUGUUUCGCUGCUGCAGUGAGACCCCUGACUUUGUGUGGGCAGUGGGACCAACUGGGCAUGUGCAGUGAUCAGUUGCUAAAUAUUGGCACUCUCAUUAGCCUUGGGAUCUGGAAACCUCCAUCCACCAGACACAGCCCAUUUCCAGCUCACCCGCUCUCCACACUAGGACUCUGAACACCCUUUCUUCAUGCCUCUUCUCCUUCCUAACUGCCUGCCUGCUCCAGCAGGCCUCAGGCCACUUCUUUUUUGUGUGCCACCACACCCAGUGGUGUAUUUAAAAUAACAAAAGCUGGAGGAACAUGGUGGCACCUACCUAUAAUCCCAACACUUUGGGAGUCUGAGGCAGGAGGAUCACUUAAGCCCAGAAGUUCAAGACCAGCCUGGGAAACAUGUUGAGACCUCAACUCUAAAAAGUUUUUAAAAUUAGCCAGAUGUGGCCAGCAUCAUCCUGAUACCAAAGCCGGGCAGAGACACAACCAAACAAGAGAACUUUAGACCAAUAUCCUUGAUGAACAUUGAUGCAAAAAUCCUCAAUAAAAUACUGGCAAACAGAAUCCAGCAGCACAUCAAAAGCUUAUCCACUAUGAUCAAGUGGGCUUCAUCCCUGGGAUGCAAGGCUGGUUCAAUAUAUGCAAAUCAAUAAAUGUAAUCCAGAAUAUAAACAGAACCAAAGACAAAAACCACAUGAUUAUCUCAAUAGAUGCAGAAAAGGCCUUUGACAAAAUUCAACAACCCUUCAU